rnacentral:misc_RNA from 1 species
AGGAGGAGGAGGAGGAGGAGAGAGUGUAGCAAUGGCAACGUAACGUGGCGGAUGGAGGAGGAAGAUGAGUGGGAACUGGGGAAGGGAGACUGUACGUUGAACUGAGAGAGUUUGCAAAUCUCGAAGUGACACGUGGACGGUUCACGAGAUAUUUGGGAAGCCAAUUGAGGUAUUUAUUGCGAUUUGCGAAAGCGAGUGAAGUGAAAUGUAAGGGUUGCUUUUACAGAGAGUGCGCUUGAUGCGAGAAGCUCCGGAGGAUCGGAUCUUGAUCUUCCUUUGACUCAUUGAAU